CCAGUGCGAGGGCAGCACGGAGCACAGGAAGUUCGGGCUGUCGGUCCGGACCAGCUCGGCGGGGUGGUCGGCGAUGAUCUCCACCAUGGACUCUCUGGCUACGGCGAUCGUUAUGCCGAUGACAGUCAGCAGCACGUGGUGUCUCAACCCUGUCCUCAUACUUCUGCAGCCUUCAGAAUAAGUACAACAAUGUACGUCCCCCACAGAAGAAGGAUCUUUGCUUUCAGACGAUCUCCCCCACCCAGGGACAGGACUAGGGGGAAUGACAGGACUGUCUCCGAUCUGUACGUCUCUCCGGGUUUUUCCAUGAACACAUUUUGUUGUUUGUUUUGAAAAAAGCCUGGACUAUUUUGUUUGCCAACUAAUAAUACUUAAUAAUUUGGUGCCAAAGGUUUGUGGUGUUUAUUUUUUGCUAAGACCCUGUCAGCCUAAAGCCUAAAACAUUUCCUUGAAUAAAUGAAAGCUAGAA